UACGUAGGGAGCAAGCGUUGUCCGGAAUCAUUGGGCGUAAAGCGCGCGUAGGCGGCUCGAUCAGUCUGUUGUGAAAGUCAAAGGCUCAACCUUUGAAUGCCGAUGGAUACUGUCGAGCUAGAGUCCGGAAGAGGCGGGUGGAAUUCCUGGUGUAGCGGUGGAAUGCGCAGAUAUCAGGAGGAACACCAACGGCGAAGGCAGCCCGCUGGGACGGUACUGACGCUAAGGCGCGAAAGCGUGGGGAGCGAACAGGA
rnacentral:rRNA from 1 species